rnacentral:rRNA from 1 species
UGCAGUCGACGAUGAGCCCAGCUUGCUGGGUGGAUUAGUGGCGAACGGGUGAGUAACACGUGAGCAACGUGCCCAUAACUCUGGGAUAACCUCCGGAAACGGUGGCUAAUACUGGAUAUCUAACACGAUCGCAUGGUCUGUGUUUGGAAAGAUUUUUUGGUUAUGGAUCGGCUCACGGCCUAUCAGCUUGUUGGUGAGGUAAUGGCUCACCAAGGCGACGACGGGUAGCCGGCCUGAGAGGGUGACCGGCCACACUGGGACUGAGACACGGCCCAGACUCCUACGGGAGGCAGCAGUGGGGAAUAUUGCACAAUGGGCGAAAGCCUGAUGCAGCAACGCCGCGUGAGGGAUGACGGCCUUCGGGUUGUAAACCUCUUUUAGUAGGGAAGAAGCGAAAGUGACGGUACCUGCAGAAAAAGCACCGGCUAACUACGUGCCAGCAGCCGCGGUAAUACGUAGGGUGCAAGCGUUGUCCGGAAUUAUUGGGCGUAAAGAGCUCGUAGGCGGUUUGUCGCGUCUGCUGUGAAAUCCCGAGGCUCAACCUCGGGUCUGCAGUGGGUACGGGCAGACUAGAGUGUGGAAGGGGAGAUUGGAAUUCCUGGUGUAGCGGUGGAAUGCGCAGAUAUCAGGAGGAACACCGAUGGCGAAGGCAGAUCUCUGGGCCAUUACUGACGCUGAGGAGCGAAAGCAUGGGGAGCGAACAGGAUUAGAUACCCUGGUAGUCCAUGCCGUAAACGUUGGGCGCUAGAUGUGGGGACCAUUCCACGGGUUUCCGUGUCGUAGCUAACGCAUUAAGCGCCCCGCCUGGGGGAGUAC